UAGGGAAUCUUCCACAAUGGACGCAAGUCUGAUGGAGCAACGGCCGCGUGAGCGAAGAAGGUUUUCGGACCGUAAAGCUCUGUUGUUGGUGAAGAAGGAUAGAGGUAGUAACUGGCCUUUAUUUGACGGUAAUCAACCAGAAAGUCACGGCUAACUACGUGCCAGCAGCCGCGGUAAUACGUAGGUGGCAAGCGUUGUCCGGAUUUAUUGGGCGUAAAGCGAGCGCAGGCGGAAGAAUAAGUCUGAUGUGAAAGCCCUCGGCUUAACCGAGGAAUUGCAUCGGAAACUGUUUUCUUGAGUGCAGAAGAGGAGAGUAGAACUCCAUGUGUAGCGGUGGAAUGCGUAGAUAUAUGGAAGAAUACCAGUGGCGAAGGCGGCUCUCUGGUCUGCAACUGACGCUGAGGCUCGAAAGCAUGGGUAGCGAACAGGAUUAGAUACCCUGGUAGUCCAUGCCGUAAACGAUGAGUGCUAAGUGUUGGGAGGCUUCCGCCUCUCAGUGCUGCAGCUAACGCAUUAAGCACUCCGCCUGGGGGAGUACGACCGCAAGGUUGAA
rnacentral:rRNA from 1 species